AGCAGCCGCGGUAAUUCCAGCUCCAAUAGCGUAUAUUAAAGUUGUUGCAGUUAAAAAGCUCGUAGUUGAAUUUCGGGAUCAGUACGCUGGUCGUGCCUUCGGUAUGAACUGGUGUCACUGGUUCCCCCCUUCUGAAGAACCGUCAUGCCAUUCAGUUGGUGUGGCGGGGAAUCAGGACUGUUACUUUGAAAAAAUUAGAGUGUUUAAAGCAGGCUCGCGCUUGAAUACAUUAGCAUGGAAUAAUGAAAUAGGACGUUUGACUCUAUUUUGUUGGUUUCUAGGAUCGACGUAAUGAUUAAUAGGGAUAGUUGGGGGCAUUAGUAUUCAAUUGUCAGAGGUGAAAUUCUUGGAUUUAUUGAAGACUAACUACUGCGAAAGCAUUUGCCAAGGAUGUUUUCAUUAAUCAAGAACGAGAGUUAGGGGAUCGAAGACGAUCAGAUACCGUCGUAGUCUUAACCAUAAACUAUGCCGACUAGGGAUCGGAUGAUGUUAAUUUUUAAUGA
rnacentral:rRNA from 1 species